UACAUGAAGACCAAAGCUGUCGGAUUAAAACUUCCAAAGAAAGAGGUCAUUGCUAUUUAGUGGCACCUCUACCUUCCCAAGUCAGGUACAACUGACUGGUCUUUGCUAUUGGGAGGAGAAAUAUGCAGGAUUUGUUUAGACAGCGUGGUUAUGCAAUGUUGAAUAAAGUUAUCCUUGAGCAACAUGUGUUAUGUGAACCCAGUGGUAUAUUUACAGGCUUUAUUGGUGGGCUCCACUGAAGUAAAAUUAAGGUAAAGUUCAACCAGUUCAACCAUUUUUUUUACAUUUAAUCUCAUGUGGAAUAAGGUUAGUUAAAAAGGUUAAUUACAAACAGCAUAUACUAACAAUCCAGUGUAUAUUUAGAAAAAUAUUUUUUCCUGGUUAUUUUAUUUCAUAAUGAAUCAGUGUGUUAUGUAUGCUUCUCUUUUUUCCACUGCCCAGAUGGAAGCUAUGAGGUCUCGGGCACAUAUAAAGGAAUGCAUGCGUGGAGGAGAAGAGAUCAAUAGAUGUGGCACAGUGUGCUGAACUCUAUUACCAGAAACAGGAUUUCAAACCUCAACUGGGCAAAUAUGUAACAAUGUAGAAAAGAAAAACUUUGUAGGAGCGUCCAUCAAUUAAAGAUUUUGAAAUCUGCACCAAACCAGGGUCCUCGUACUCUAAAGCCCAGCAGGGCAGCCAACAAGGCUUGUUUUUAGAUUUUUUUAAAAUUUUCAGACACUGUGGAGGUAUGUAAGAACGACCCGAGAGCUCGUCAUAUUGUAACUGGUUUACAAAUUAGUUUGAUUGCUGUGUUAUUGUGUUCAGAACUGCAACUCACUUAUUGCAUACACUGUUCCAAAAAAUAGUAAUGUCAAAGUAUAUUACUGUAAUUUUUUACAGUUUUGUACUGUCUUCCUAGGAUAUCAUUCAAUUUACAUAAGCAGACUGUGAUCUUACAUGUCAAAGGUAAAACAACAUAACAUCACUGUAAAUAUAGUAAAACACAAUUUACUUGUUUCUUAAAUACAUUUUUUUCGUACAUAUGCAUAUUUAGAUCUUAAAAAUACAUCCAGAAACAGCUAGUUCUCUCCCAUCAUGCCUUGGGACAUGUGCUGCUGUUUAGUUGUUCUUGUUUUAUUGUUUAUGGUUAGUUACUUUUAACUGUUAACUUGAAUGUUGUGUUUACGCCGUGGUGCAGAGUCACUGACAGUUGUUGUUUUGUAGCGAGAUGUCACUCAUGUACCAUGAGUGACUUCUGUUCUGCUGUUGUUGAAGGUUGAGGCACAUGGAAACACUGGAAAGUGUGUAAAUAAAGAGCUCCCCCUGCCAGCUUGGGGUUGAAUAACAAGCUCAAUCUCUCUCUUUGAGCUAAUUAGUUAAGAUUCUUUUGCAUGCCACAAUGUAAAUCAGUUCACGGCCACGCUGUGCUAAUUAUAUUUUUUUUUAAAAUAAAUGUAGAGGUGGGAAUUGCAAUUAAUAUAAAUCUCAAAGUAUUCACAACAGAAAUAGGCCUCUGCACCUGGGGUGAGGGUGUGGCCAUGAAAACAAUGUGAUAUGCCAUUGGAUGUUGGGACACAUAAUAACAUGACACUAAGCAUCGGCCAAUGAAUGUGAACUAACAACAACAAGGUCGCGGGUAUGGCUGCACUGUAGGAAAGAAUCGUGCAUUUUACAGUUUUGUUCUGUUCUUCUAGAAUAUCAUUAAAGUUACGUAAAUAGACUUUGACUUCACAUUUCAAAUGUAAAUUAACGUCAAAUCACUGUAAUGUAAUGAAACAUAAUUGUCAUGAUCAUUAAAUGUAUCUAUCUGUACAUAUGCAUAUUUAGAUUGUUAAAAUACAUUCACAAAUGUAUCAUGAUUCCACAAAUAUCUGUCCAUUAUUUGAAAGACUGAACUGUUGGAUUCAAAUGUAAU
ensembl:lncRNA